CCUACGGGAGGCAGCAGUCGGGAAUUUUGGGCAAUGGGCGAAAGCCUGACCCAGCAACGCCGCGUGAAGGAUGAAAUCCUUCGGGAUGUAAACUUCGCAAGAAUGGGAAGAAUGAGCGAGUACUAAUACUGCUCGUGAUGACGGUACCAUUUGUAAGCUCCGGCUAACUCUGUGCCAGCAGCCGCGGUAA
rnacentral:rRNA from 1 species